CCUGCCGGCGACCGGCGCACGGGUGAAGUAACACGUAUGCGACCUGCCCCCGCAGGGGGAUAACCGGGAGAAAUCCCGACUAAUACCGCGUAACGCCGCGGGGCUGCAUAGGCCCGGCGGCCAAAGGAAGCGAUUCCGGCGGGGGAUGGGCAUGCGGCGCAUUAGCGUAGUCGGCGGGGUAACGGCCCACCGAGGCGACGAUGCGUAGGGGUUCUGAGAGGAAGGUCCCCCACACUGGUACUGAGACACGGACCAGACUCCUACGGAAGGCAGCAG
rnacentral:rRNA from 1 species